CGUACCUUUAGCUCAGUUGGUUAGAGCAGACGGCUCAUAACCGUCCGGUCGUAGGUUCGAGUCCUAAAGGGUACA
rnacentral:tRNA from 1 species